UUUUUUUUUUUUUUCUUUCCUUUUUAGGGCAUCACCUAUGGCAUGUAUAAGUUCCAGGGUAGGGGUCGAUUUGAAGAUUUGACUGCCAGCCUACACCACACCCGCAGCAAUGCCAGAUCAUAGCUGCAUCUUUGACCUUCACCACAGCUCAUGGCAAUGCCAGAUCCUUAACCCACUGAACAGGCCCAGGGAUUGAACCCACAUUCUCAUGGAUACUAGUUGGUUCGUUACUGCUGACCACAACAGGAAAUCCCAGGGUCUUCAUCUUUAAUGAAAAAUUAACUACAUCUCCAGGUAGUGAGGUCAUGUUGAAAUAAGCUCUGGAGGGAGUUCCCGUCGUGGCGCAGUGGUUAACGAAUCCGACUAGGAACCAUGAGGUUGCGGGUUCGGUCCCUGCCCUUGCUCAGUGGAUUAACGAUCCGGCGUUGCCAUGAGCUGUGGUCGGGUUGAGGAUUGGGUGUUGUCAUGAGCUCUGGUGUAGGUUGCAGAUGUGGCUUGGAUCUGGUGUGGCUGUGGUUGUGGUGUAGGCCAGCAGAUGCAGCUCCGAUUUGACCCCUAGCCAUGGAACUUCAUGUGACGCGGAUGCGGCCUAAAAAGCAAAAAAAAAGCUUGGAAAACGAUCAAUAAGUUUCAGCCCUCUCCCUUCACCAUGGAAGAAACAAGAUUCAGAGAGGGUGGCCUUGCCUAUGUUGACAUCACUUUUUAGAGCCCUAGCCUUGAGCUCAUUAAAGGGAGAACAGAAGGCGUCCACUGGAGAAGCUUAAAGAGAAGAAGGGAAGGAAAACUCAAGAAGCAUCACAUCCUCAGAACCCACAGAUACCUCAAAUUUCAUGUCCCAUAAAGAACUCAUUCCCAAGGGGAACAUGUAAUAGGAUCUCAGGCCAACUCAGUAUCAGAGUCAUUCUCAGUAUGCCCUCCCUCUUCCCAUCCCAUCAGUUACCUGCUCUUACAGCUUCUAUCUCAGAGAUGUCCCUGCCUUAGGUCAGAGUCUGAGAUUUCCCUCUUGGAUGAUUAUAAGUGCAUCCCAAUUGGUUUCCUCCUAGGAGUUUCUCCACUUGUCCCCUCCCUUCCAGCAAAAGUAAUCUUGCAGAAAACAAAUGUGAUGACUGAAAAACUCCCCACACUCCCCUCCCACUCUUCAGGGGUUAUUACCUGUAUGGUAUCUGCAAGCUCUGGUCAUACAUAGAUUCAAACUUCUCCUCCCGAGUCAAAGAAACAACAGUUCGGAAGUUUUCUAUUGCUUCAGUGGCAAUCUGUGUGAGAGAGGGCCCAGUCACUACAGGCACAAAGGCCAAUGGUGACAGUGAGUCUGAACUCCAUCAAAGAGAUUAAGACAAUUAAUUUUAUUAUUAAAUGUUUUUUAAUAUCGCAUAUUAAAUAAUACUUAGUAUGACCCAUGAGCUUCGAUGCUAUGGAAAAGGAUACUAAGUAAUCUGUCACAAAUGGAGUUUUAGGUCUGGAAGGAAGAUGGACUAAUUCAAACUCCAAUUUACAGAAGGAGAAGCUGAAGGUUAAACAGAUGAAGGCACUGACUAAAGCCACGUCACUUUACAGGAGCAAAAUUAACCUGAGAACUCAGUAUUUUACCUCUACUGCAGUGCUCUUUCUCUCUACUGCAGUGCUCUGUGUUUUAUUAUGAUCACAUUUUAAGUUUAUAGUUAUUACAUACAUGUAUUUAAGGUAACGUAUGUUUGUUUUGUACAGUUGUCGUUUGAGACAACUAAAGAAUAUUUGGAAAAGAUUGCAAAGGUAGAGAAGGUAAUGAAAAGUUACAUAUGUUUUACGUAAUGGUGUACAUGUAGUUUUUUCCCUAAAGAUACCUGUUUAACAAAAUUGGGCUCAAGUUCUGAAUUUGGCCAUAUAGCCUUCUCUUUUACCUUAACAAAUAUCAAGCACAUUUCCAAGGUCAAUAAAUAUACAUUAGCAAUGGAAUAUUUAAAAGGCCACUUAAUAUCCCAGCCGGCUAAGCAUUCCUUUAAGGUUUUCAGUUCUUAUUAAAAGUAAUUCUGUGUAAACAUCCUUGUACAUAAAUGUUUGCCCAUAUUGUUUAAAUUCUUCUGUUUUAUUUUAAACAUUUUUUGGCUACAUGGGUGGCCUGUGGAAGGUCCUGGUCUAGGGAAUAAACGUGAGCCACAACAGAGACAACACCAGAUCCUUACCUGCUGGGCCACCCCAUUCAGUUGUGUUGUAUUUUAAUUGAAUGUAAUUCCCAAUAAGGCUAUUUGAUUAAGACAAAUACGCCCUUUACCACCUUGUGAAAUCUGGGUAAAGGGCUGUGGAAAAGACAAAAACACCAGUGCACAAAAGGAGAUUUCAGCUUGCAUCAGCACAGGACCUUGAAACACCUCUCUGCCCAUUUGCCUCAUGUAUAAAAUAAGGAGGGUGGACAAGAGGGUCUCAGAAGUCCCUUUGAACUCUAAAUCUAAGAGAUCAAUUUGUGGAAUUAUAAGUCUAAAUUAUAAAUCAGUGAGAGACAUUUUAUUACAGUGUUCUUUUUUUCUCUGGUUUCUACGCUGGUCGUAUUUGAUACAAAUAAAGACGCGUUCAAUUACAUCUAAUGUAAUCAUUCUAAAUGAUUUACAGUUUACAAAUCUUGAAACCCAAAUCUCACUUAUUCUUUACUGCUACUAGCAAAUAUUUGAUAUGACAUUAAGCCAGUCCAAAGACUCACACAGAAAGCUAUUAGAAAACCAAUCAAUAUUAUAUUCUUAGAAAAAAAAACAUAUUUAAAAAUAAACUCAUGCAAACUAUUGCAUCUGGAAUGGAUAAGCAAUGAGAUCCUGCCAUAUAUCAAUGGAAACUAUAUCUAGUCACUUGUGUUAGAAUAUGAUGGAGGAUAAUAUGAGAAACAGAAUGUAUGUAUAUAUAUGUGUGCCUGGGUCACUUUGCUGUACAGUAGAAAAAUGACAGAGCAUUGUAAACCAACUAUAAUGGAAAAAACACAAAAAUCAUUUAAAAAUUAAAAAAUAAUUUCACUUUAGAGGGCUUAAAAAUGGGUUCAUCUUAAUUUUAAUUGCCUCCAAGGCCCUCUGUGGAGCCAAACAAAAUUUGAGUGAAUCCUUACAUUAAACUGAAUCUUUGAAAUGACUCAUUUCAUUCUCAACUUCCUACUAAAGUAGACACAUCGAAUAUGUCUAAACACAUCCAUGUUUAUAGAAUCACUAUUUGGAUGUAAGUCAUUUCAUAAUUAAGCCAAUCUAACUGCUGAAAUACUUUUUUAUUUGUUAAGGAGGAUUAUAAUUCAGGUCUUGAGGCAGGGAAAUCAGUAAGAUUAUUAUGACUGCAUUGUCUAGUGAAAGUAGGGUCUAGAGCAGGGAUUUACAAACUAUAUGCCAAAGGUAGAAUCCUGUUGGUCUCCUGUUUUUGUAAAUAAAGUUUUAUUUGGACAUACCUAAAAAAAUAAUAAUAAUAAAGUUAGAAGUAUUAUAUUCUGGCCCAGUAGGUCAAGAUGUUUUCCAUAAGCUACUAAUAUAGUUAAUUGUCCAUAUGCAAUUUAUAUCAAAAUAUUUUAUAAAAUUCUUUUUGUUAUAAAAAAUUAUAUAUACUCAUUUUAGAACAUCCUGAAAGUGCAGAAAGUAAAAAGUUAGAGGACAAAAAGUCAUCUCCAGUCAAACCCUCAAAGACAAUCUUUGUUCAGACCCAUGGCAGAAAUGUUUUCAAUUAUAAGGCAUCAAACACAGAGAAGUUUCUUAUAUGAGUUGGAAAAUCCCACAAACUAUAACACUGUCUGGUGGAAAACAGACUUUAGUCUAAAUUUCAAUGUAAAUUUUCUAAGCCAGGUGUGGUUUUUUGUGACUGGUUGUGUCAUCACUUUUUAGAAAGUGUGAACAGCACAAUAAAAGCAAGAGAUUAUGAGUUACAGACCUUGAAUGGCAAGUAAAACAAUAUAAUCACUGGACAAUCACCUUCAAUUAGGAAAGGGCUAAUUGCUUCCUAAGCAGUUAGGAAAGGGCUUAAUCCAGUACUCUGCAUCCUCACAGCUUCAUUUACUCCAGAGUUUUCCAUAAAGACUCAGUACCUACUAUGGGGAGAGAGAACUUUCUUUUUUUAAUUACUGUUCUAAACAGGCUUCAUAUAUUUAGUAAUUUUGUCUUCACACUUAACCUAUGAAAGAAGUGCAGUUAUUAACACCAUUUUGUGUGUGCGUUUUUUAACAUUUUGAUUAUAGCUGACUUUUUCUUUUUUGUCUUUUUAGGGCCUCACCCAUGGCAUAUGGAAGUUCCCAGGCUAGGGGUUGAAAUCAGAGCUGCAGUUGCCAGUCUAUACCACAGCCACAGCAAUGCCAGAUCUGAGCCUCAUCUGGGACCUAUACCACAGCUCAGGGCAACACUGGAUCCUUAACCCACUGAGCCAGGCCAGGGAUGGAACUCAAGUCCUCAUGGAUGCUAGCUGGGUUGGUUACUGCUGAGUGAUGAUGGGAACUCCUAUAGCUGACUUUCUAAUUCGAGAAGAGGAAGUAGCACUGAGUUUCCCUCAGAAACCAUCAUGAACUAAAUCAUUUUGAAGAAAGUAAAAAAUGUUUCUAGAAAAAAAAAAAAA
rnacentral:lncRNA from 1 species